GAAAUGCGAUAAUUAAUGUGAAUUGCAGAAUUCAGUGAAUCAUCGAGUCUUUGAACGCACAUUGCGCCCCCUGGUAUUCCGGGGGGCAUGCCUGUCCGAGCGUCAUUGCUGCCCUCAAGCACGGCUUGUGUGUUGGGCUUCCGUCCCUGGCAACGGGGACGGGCCCAAAAGGCAGUGGCGGCACCAUGUCUGGUCCUCGAGCGUAUGGGGCUUUGUCACCCGCUCCCGUAGGUCCAGCUGGCAGCUAGCCUCGCAACCAAUCUUUUUAACCAGGUUGACCUCGGAUCAGGUAUGGAUACCCGCUGAACUUAAGC
rnacentral:misc_RNA from 1 species